AUUGAACGCUGGCGGCAUGCCUAACACAUGCAAGUCGAACGAGUGGCGGACGGGUGAGUAAUGUAUGGGAAACUGCCUGAUGGAGGGGGAUAACUACUGGAAACGGUAGCUAAUACCGCAUACCAUCGGAUGUGCCCAGAUGGGAUUAGCUAGUAGGUGGGGUAACGGCUCACCUAGGCGACGAUGCCUAGCUGGUCUGAGAGGCUGACCAGCCACACUGGAACUGAGACACGGGCCAGACUCCUACGGGAGGCAGCAGUGGGGAAUAUUGGACAAUGGUCGCAAGCCUGAUGCAGCCAUGCCGCGUGUAUGAAGAAGGCCUUCGGGUUGUAAAGUACUUUCAGCGGGGAGGCGUUACCCGAAGAAGAAGCACCGGCUAACUCCGUGCCAGCCGCCGCGGUAAUAC
rnacentral:rRNA from 1 species